rnacentral:tRNA from 1 species
AUAAACAAGUAUUUGCUUAAUAAAAAGUUAGAAGCUUUUUUAAAUUAUUUCUUU